GAUGAACGCUGGCGGCGUGCCUAACACAUGCAAGUCGAACGGAAGGACGAUAAGCUUGUGUCUUUGAUGUUGGCGGCGGGCGGGUGAGUAACACGUGGAUCACAUCCUUAUAUGACGGGGAAAAUUACGGAAAGGCGGAUAUAAUACCAGAGGAUAUUUUGAACCGCAGGGGGCAAAGGAGAAAGACGGCCGUGGUGGCUGUAAUAGCGGGUUCCGCGCUGGAUUAGCUGGUAGGUAAGGUAACGGCCUACCAAGGCUACGAUGCGUAGCCGAGCUGAGAGGAUGAUCGCCCACACUGGAACUGAGGCACGGUCCAGACUCCUACGGGAGGCAGCAGUAGGGAAUCUUCCGCAAUGGGCGGAAGCCUGACGGAGCGACGCCGCGUGAGUGAUGAAGGCCUUCGGGUCGUAAAGCUCUGUUAUUGGGGAAGAACAUCUGUGUAAUUAUCUGUGGACAUCGUGACGGUACCUAAUCAAAAAGCACCGGCUAACUACGUG
rnacentral:rRNA from 1 species